rnacentral:rRNA from 1 species
GACGAACGCUGGCGGCGUGCUUAACACAUGCAAGUCGAACGAAGUGGCGAACGGGUGAGUAAUACGUGGGUAACCUGCCUUAGACAUUGGGAUAGCCUCGGGAAACCGGGAUUAAUACCAAAUGGUCUAAGGUGGACUCGCGUCCCAUUAGCUAGUUGGUGAGGUAACGGCCCACCAAGGCGGUGACGGGUAGCCGGCCUGAGAGGGGGACCGGCCACAUUGGGACUGAGAUACGGCCCAGACUCCUACGGGAGGCAGCAGUGGGGGAUAUUGCACAAUGGGCGAAAGCCUGAUGCAGCGACGCCGCGUGGGGGAUGAAGGCUUUCGGGUUGUAAACCUCUUUCGCUAUCGACGGGGUAGGUGGAGAAGAAGCGCCGGCUAACUACGUGCCAGCAGCCGCGGUAAUAC